rfam:Schistosoma mansoni strain Puerto Rico chromosome 4, complete genome
GCACUGCUGAAGAGUCCUACAACAGGACGAAACGACAGUCCAGUGC